rnacentral:rRNA from 1 species
GAUGAACGCUGGCGGCGUGCUUAACACAUGCAAGUCGAACGGAAAGGCCAGUGCUUGCACUGGUACUCGAGUGGCGAACGGGUGAGUAACACGUGGGUGAUCUGCCCUGCACUUCGGGAUAAGCCUGGGAAACUGGGUCUAAUACCGGAUAGGACAAUGGUUUGGAUGCCGUUGUGGAAAGUUUUUUCGGUGUGGGAUGAGCUCGCGGCCUAUCAGCUUGUUGGUGGGGUAAUGGCCUACCAAGGCGUCGGCGGGUAGCCGGCCUGAGAGGGUGUACGGCCACCUUGGGACUGGGAUACGGCCCAGACUCCUACGGGAGGCAGCAGUGGGGAAUAUUGCACAAUGGGCGCAAGCCUGAUGCAGCGACGCCGCGUGGGGGAUGACGGCCGUCGGGUUGUAAACUCCUUUCGCUAGGGACGAAGCGUAUUUGUGACGGUACCUGGAGAAGAAGCACCGGCUAACUACGUG